UUAAGCGACUAAGCGUACACGGUGGAUGCCCUGGCAGUCAGAGGCGAUGAAGGACGUGCUAAUCUGCGAUAAGCGUCGGUAAGGUGAUAUGAACCGUUAUAACCGGCGAUUUCCGAAUGGGGAAACCCAGUGUGAUUCGUCACACUAUCAUUAACUGAAUCCAUAGGUUAAUGAGGCGAACCGGGGGAACUGAAACAUCUAAGUACCCCGAGGAAAAGAAAUCAACCGAGAUUCCCCCAGUAGCGGCGAGCGAACGGGGAGGAGCCCAGAGCCUGAAUCAGUGUGUGUGUUAGUGGAAGCGUCUGGAAAGGCGCGCGAUACAGGGUGACAGCCCCGUACACAAAAAUGCACAUGCUGUGAGCUCGAUGAGUAGGGCGGGACACGUGGUAUCCUGUCUGAAUAUGGGGGGACCAUCCUCCAAGGCUAAAUACUCCUGACUGACCGAUAGUGAACCAGUACCGUGAGGGAAAGGCGAAAAGAACCCCGGCGAGGGGAGUGAAAAAGAACCUGAAACCGUGUACGUACAAGCAGUGGGAGCCUCUUAAUGGGGUGACUGCGUACCUUUUGUAUAAUGGGUCAGCGACUUAUAUUCUGUAGCAAGGUUAACCGAAUAGGGGAGCCGAAGGGAAACCGAGUCUUAACUGGGCGUUAAGUUGCAGGGUAUAGACCCGAAACCCGGUGAUCUAGCCAUGGGCAGGUUGAAGGUUGGGUAACACUAACUGGAGGACCGAACCGACUAAUGUUGAAAAAUUAGCGGAUGACUUGUGGCUGGGGGUGAAAGGCCAAUCAAACCGGGAGAUAGCUGGUUCUCCCCGAAAGCUAUUUAGGUAGCGCCUCGUGAAUUCAUCUCCGGGGGUAGAGCACUGUUUCGGCAAGGGGGUCAUCCCGACUUACCAACCCGAUGCAAACUGCGAAUACCGGAGAAUGUUAUCACGGGAGACACACGGCGGGUGCUAACGUCCGUCGUGAAGAGGGAAACAACCCAGACCGCCAGCUAAGGUCCCAAAGUCAUGGUUAAGUGGGAAACGAUGUGGGAAGGCCCAGACAGCCAGGAUGUUGGCUUAGAAGCAGCCAUCAUUUAAAGAAAGCGUAAUAGCUCACUGGUCGAGUCGGCCUGCGCGGAAGAUGUAACGGGGCUAAACCAUGCACUGAAGCUGCGGCAGCGACGCUUAUGCGUUGUUGGGUAGGGGAGCGUUCUGUAAGCCUGCGAAGGUGUACUGUGAGGUAUGCUGGAGGUAUCAGAAGUGCGAAUGCUGACAUAAGUAACGAUAAAGCGGGUGAAAAGCCCGCUCGCCGGAAGACCAAGGGUUCCUGUCCAACGUUAAUCGGGGCAGGGUGAGUCGACCCCUAAGGCGAGGCCGAAAGGCGUAGUCGAUGGGAAACAGGUUAAUAUUCCUGUACUUGGUGUUACUGCGAAGGGGGGACGGAGAAGGCUAUGUUGGCCGGGCGACGGUUGUCCCGGUUUAAGCGUGUAGGCUGGUUUUCCAGGCAAAUCCGGAAAAUCAAGGCUGAGGCGUGAUGACGAGGCACUACGGUGCUGAAGCAACAAAUGCCCUGCUUCCAGGAAAAGCCUCUAAGCAUCAGGUAACAUCAAAUCGUACCCCAAACCGACACAGGUGGUCAGGUAGAGAAUACCAAGGCGCUUGAGAGAACUCGGGUGAAGGAACUAGGCAAAAUGGUGCCGUAACUUCGGGAGAAGGCACGCUGAUACGUAGGUGAAGUCCCUUGCGGAUGGAGCUGAAAUCAGUCGAAGAUACCAGCUGGCUGCAACUGUUUAUUAAAAACACAGCACUGUGCAAACACGAAAGUGGACGUAUACGGUGUGACGCCUGCCCGGUGCCGGAAGGUUAAUUGAUGGGGUUAGCGGUAACGCGAAGCUCUUGAUCGAAGCCCCGGUAAACGGCGGCCGUAACUAUAACGGUCCUAAGGUAGCGAAAUUCCUUGUCGGGUAAGUUCCGACCUGCACGAAUGGCGUAAUGAUGGCCAGGCUGUCUCCACCCGAGACUCAGUGAAAUUGAACUCGCUGUGAAGAUGCAGUGUACCCGCGGCAAGACGGAAAGACCCCGUGAACCUUUACUAUAGCUUGACACUGAACAUUGAGCCUUGAUGUGUAGGAUAGGUGGGAGGCUUUGAAGUGUGGACGCCAGUCUGCAUGGAGCCGACCUUGAAAUACCACCCUUUAAUGUUUGAUGUUCUAACGUUGGCCCCUAAUCGGGGUUGCGGACAGUGUCUGGUGGGUAGUUUGACUGGGGCGGUCUCCUCCUAAAGAGUAACGGAGGAGCACGAAGGUUGGCUAAUCCUGGUCGGACAUCAGGAGGUUAGUGCAAUGGCAUAAGCCAGCUUGACUGCGAGCGUGACGGCGCGAGCAGGUGCGAAAGCAGGUCAUAGUGAUCCGGUGGUUCUGAAUGGAAGGGCCAUCGCUCAACGGAUAAAAGGUACUCCGGGGAUAACAGGCUGAUACCGCCCAAGAGUUCAUAUCGACGGCGGUGUUUGGCACCUCGAUGUCGGCUCAUCACAUCCUGGGGCUGAAGUAGGUCCCAAGGGUAUGGCUGUUCGCCAUUUAAAGUGGUACGCGAGCUGGGUUUAGAACGUCGUGAGACAGUUCGGUCCCUAUCUGCCGUGGGCGCUGGAGAACUGAGGGGGGCUGCUCCUAGUACGAGAGGACCGGAGUGGACGCAUCACUGGUGUUCGGGUUGUCAUGCCAAUGGCACUGCCCGGUAGCUAAAUGCGGAAGAGAUAAGUGCUGAAAGCAUCUAAGCACGAAACUUGCCCCGAGAUGAGUUCUCCCUGACUCCUUGAGAGUCCUGAAGGAACGUUGAAGACGACGACGUUGAUAGGCCGGGUGUGUAAGCGCAGCGAUGCGUUGAGCUAACCGGUACUAAUGAACCGUGAGGCUUAACCUU
rnacentral:rRNA from 2 species